rnacentral:rRNA from 1 species
GAUGAACGCUAGCGGCAGGCUUAACACAUGCAAGUCGAGGGGCAACACGGGUAGCAAUACCUGGUGGCGACCGGCGCAAGGGUGCGUAACGCGUGAGCAACAUGCCCUAUACAGGGGGAUAAUCCAGGGAAACUUGGUCUAAUAUCCCAUAGUAUUUAGAGGUGGCAUCACCACUAAAUUAAAGCUUCGGUGGUAUAGGAUUGGCUCGCGUGACAUUAGCUGGAUGGUGGGGUAACGGCUCACCAUGGCGAUGAUGUCUAGGGGUUCUGAGAGGAAGACCCCCCACACUGGGACUGAGACACGGCCCAGACUCCUACGGGAGGCAGCAGUAAGGAAUAUGGUCAAUGGGGCAACCCUGAACCAGCCAUGCCGCGUGCAGGAAGACGGCCCUACGGGUUGUAAACUGCUUUUAUACGGGAAUAAAUCUCGCUACGUGUAGUGAGUUGAAUGUACUGUAAGAUAAGGAUCGGCUAACCCGUGCCAGCAGCCGCGGU